CAGAGAGUGCUAGUGGGAGACCGCACGGCUCGUGCUAGACCUCCAGUGGUGAUGCUUCUCGCGGAGCCUUGGUGGCGGGCUCGGGCCCUUCGCAGCAGCACGGACAUGCCGUGAGCACUCAUGAUUGGAGCUCCAACAGAACGGGGCUCACUCUCC
rnacentral:RNase_MRP_RNA from 1 species